UACGAAGGGGGCUAGCGUUGCUCGGAAUUACUGGGCGUAAAGGGCGCGUAGGCGGAUACUUAAGUCGGGGGUGAAAGCCCGGGGCUCAACCUCGGAAUUGCCCUCGAUACUGGGUAUCUUGAGUUCGGGAGAGGUGAGUGGAAUGCCGAGUGUAGAGGUGAAAUUCGUAGAUAUUCGGCGGAACACCAGUGGCGAAGGCGACUCACUGGCCCGAUACUGACGCUGAUGCGCGAAAGCGUGGGGAGCGAACAGG
rnacentral:rRNA from 1 species